CUACUUCUGCGAUUUCUGUGACUUCUGCUACUUCUGCGAUUUCUGUGAUUCCUGCGAUUUCUGCGACUUACCACCGUAUGAGAAAGUUACAUCUGUCAACACAGAAAAUUGCAUCUCAACAAACCUGUCUUUGGCAAGUACCUGAACUACAUUUCAGUCACUCAGUAAAGUGAUAACUCAAAAUAUCAUUGUCAACAGAUCUGAAGAAAUUGCCACUGCGUCUUUAGACCGUUUUCGUCAGACGAGAGACACAGUUCUGACUCUGAUUACUGGUUGCUGUACGUAUCUAUCCACAUCAAGGCUGUUUUUGAGAGAGACUCGUGAAGAUUCAAGACAGUUCUUAGAGGAUUUGCAGUUUAAAAGUGAAAUAAUUGUGAAAUAAGUGUGUGAAUGAUUAAACUGUGUUUUAUUGAAGUUGUUGUGCGAUUUUAAAGGAAUAAUAAAUGUCAA